rnacentral:tRNA from 1 species
AACGACAUAUUUUAUGAAGAUUGUGUGCUCUGCAAGUAUGAGGUGGGUGGUUAGCCCUGUCGUUGC